rnacentral:rRNA from 1 species
CCUACGGGAGGCAGCAGUGGGGAAUAUUGCACAAUGGGCGAAAGCCUGAUGCAGCAACGCCGCGUGAGGGACGACGGCCUUCGGGUUGUAAACCUCUUUUAGUAGGGAAGAAGCGAAAGUGACGGUACCUGCAGAAAAAGCACCGGCUAACUACGUGCCAGCAGCCGCGGUAAUACGUAGGGUGCAAGCGUUAUCCGGAAUUAUUGGGCGUAAAGAGCUCGUAGGCGGUUUGUCGCGUCUGCUGUGAAAACUGGGGGCUCAACCCCCAGCCUGCAGUGGGUACGGGCAGACUAGAGUGCGGUAGGGGAGAUUGGAAUUCCUGGUGUAGCGGUGGAAUGCGCAGAUAUCAGGAGGAACACCGAUGGCGAAGGCAGAUCUCUGGGCCGUAACUGACGCUGAGGAGCGAAAGCAUGGGGAGCGAACAGGAUUAGAUACCCUGGUAGUCCAUGCCGUAAACGUUGGGAACUAGAUGUAGGGACCAUUCCACGGUUUCUGUGUCGCAGCUAACGCAUUAAGUUCCCCGCCUGGGGAGUACGGCCGCAAGGCUAAAACUCAAAGAUAGACGCGNGNGAGNGCGACGACGACGACGAGGAGGAGGAG